CGUUGAGAUGUUCGGUUAAGUCCGCUAACGAGCGCAACCCUCGCUGUGUGUUACAAGUGUCACACGGAACUGCCGGUCAUAAACCGGAGGAAGGUGGGGAUGACGUCAAGUCAGCAUGGCCUUUAUAUCCUGGGCUACACACACGCUACAAUGGGAAGGGACAAUAGGGUUGCGAAGCCGCGGGGGGGAGCCAAUCCCAAAAAGCCGCUCUCAGUUCGGAUUGCAGGCUGCAACUCGCCUGCAUGAAGCCGGAAUCGUUAGUAAUCGCGGAUCAGCAUGCCGCGGUGAAUACGUUCCCGGGCCUU
rnacentral:rRNA from 1 species